rnacentral:rRNA from 1 species
GAUGAACGCUAGCGGCAGGCCUAACACAUGCAAGUCGAGGGAGGAGCUUUCGGGCUUCGACCGGCGUACGGGUGCGUAACGCGUAUACAAUCUGCCUUUCACAUAGGGAUAGCCCGAAGAAAUUUGGAUUAAUACCUAAUGGUAUAUAGUUGUGGCAUCACAUUUAUAUUAAAGCUGAGGCGGUGAAAGAUGAGUAUGCGUUCUAUUAGCUAGUUGGAGAGGUAACGGCUCCCCAAGGCGACGAUAGAUAGGGGUUCUGAGAGGGAUAUCCCCCACACUGGUACUGAGAUACGGACCAGACUCCUACGGGAGGCAGCAGUGAGGAAUAUUGGACAAUGGUCGGAAGACUGAUCCAGCCAUGCCGCGUGCAGGAAGACGGCCUUAUGGGUUGUAAACUGCUUUUGCAGGGGAAGAAUAAGGAGUACGUGUACUUUGAUGACGGUACUCUGCGAAUAAGCAUCGGCUAACUCCGUGCCAGCAGCCGCGGUAAUACGGAGGAUGCGAGCGUUAUCCGGAAUCAUUGGGUUUAAAGGGUCCGUAGGCGGGCUAAUAAGUCAGAGGUGAAAGCGCUCAGCUCAACUGAGCAACUGCCUUUGAAACUGUUAGUCUUGAAUGGUUGUGAAGUAGUUGGAAUGUGUAGUGUAGCGGUGAAAUGCUUAGAUAUUACACAGAACACCGAUAGCGAAGGCAUAUUACUAACAAUUAAUUGACGCUGAUGGACGAAAGCGUGGGGAGCGAACAGG